UGAGUUGUGAGAAUACAGCUUUAUAAUUUUUUGAAUGUUCAUUGUUUACUGUAUACCAAACGGUGCGAGAAAAAACGAAAAGUUGUCCCACCUUGCUAUAGGAAUUUGACUUCAAGCAGAAAUUAAAAAUGGAAUUAAAAAGUUCGUACCAAGAUAUCGAAAUACCAAAACGAAACUUUGUAAAGUAUAUUUUGGAAACAAUUGAAGAAUAUGGAAGUUCAGCGGCUUGGAUUGACGACGACAACGAUGGAAAAGUUUAUUCAUUUACUACGAUUCGUGAAUCGGUUUUAAAAUGCAGCGACUCGUUUCACAAAGAUGGCGUUCGUCGUGGUGACGUGAUUGUUGUGAUGGGAAAGAACAAACCAGAGCAAAGAAUUCUUAUACUUGCUGCUAUGUAUUGCGGGGCGGUGGUGUUCCCUUGUAAUUAUCUGUCUUCAGCAGAAGAACUGCGACGACGGUUCAAAAUACAGAAACCAGAUGUAUUCAUUGUCGAUACAUGGUGCUUUGAAAUACUGAAUGACGUCAGAGGGGAAGUACCCGACAAUAAGAUAUACGUCGUAGGUGAAUCAAGAAAGCACAAGACGUAUGAACAAUUACUUGACAAUGGAUCACUUGACAAAGCUUCGAGAAUAUCUACCAGCGCAGAAGAUGCAAUUAUCAUGCUAGCUUGUUCUAGUGGAACUACUGGCCCACCGAAGAUAACUCAAAUCAACAGUUAUUCUGUUGAAGCUAGUUUGGCAAUGCUAAAAUUAUCGUACAAACCGUCCCGGUCAAACGUCAUGUACUCAAUGGGGUCAAUGUAUCACAUCAGUAUGUUGUAUAACAUACCUGAGUAUCUUAUUCAAGGUUCCACCUUUCUCUUCACUCACAACCCUACCGCUCAUUCAAUGUUAGCUGCCAUUGAAAAAUACAAGGUAACAAGCAUAUUUGGGAUACCCUCGAUACUAGUUGACGUCAUCAACAGUGACGUAGCAAACGAUUAUGACCUCACAACCUUGAAUUACAUCUCAGUAUCUGGUGCUCCCUUUCGCGAAAGAAUUGAUUUCACAGUUUGAAAACAAACGUUUCAAAAGCUUCCAUUAUUGAUGAAUAUGGAAUGACAGAAGCAUAUGUUCUAACGGUUGCAAACCAAGCUCUGUUAGUGGAUGGCUCGCAGGGGUUGGUUGCUCCUAACACUAAGUUGAAGGUGGUGGAUUGCGAUACCGGGAAUAAUCUGCGACCAGGA